AUUCUCUUGGCAUUACUGUGAGGACACAACAUUUGUGAGCAGGGAAAAAUACACUUUGGACCUAAAGGGUCAUGUGGUAGAGAUCUGGGAAACACUGCUUUUGUACGGAAAGCCACUGUGGUUCUCCUCUUUGCAGCCAGCACAGGGUGCCUGGGAUAAGCAGGCAGACAGGCAUCUGAAGAAAGCAGGAGCAGGUGUGAAAGCAAAUCAUCCAGCAUCUCUCGUUCUUGCCAUUAUUUUGAGUUUCUGCACGGAUUCACACUGUGAUUGGGCCAAUGCACCCCGUCUCAGCUCAGCCCACAGCCCUGGCAGCCCCUUGGGGCAGGGUGGGCCUUCUGCUGGCAGAAGAGAUGAUGAAGGGAGAAUUCAAUGGAGAUCUAUAAAAUCCCGAGCGGCUCUGAGAAAGUAAAUGAGAAUUGAUUGUUUGCUGUCUAAUACAGGAACUAGAAGUCCCAAUUAAAUUAACUGAUGGUAGGUUCAAAGCAACGUAGUGCUCUGCGUGGUGUUCUGCCAUGAGAGGCCGUGGGUGCCAAAAGUUUAUGCGAGUUUGAAGUGGGAUGAAAGAAAAUUUGUAUAUGACUGAGGCAUAGGCAGCACCUAUUUGGGAACUGUGGAGGUGAAUUUACCAGAAGGUGUGAAAGCACUGUGGGGAAAUACCACUAUGCAGCUUAUACUCCCUCCUGGGCAUCUGCUAUUAGCUGCUGUUGAACACAGAUACUGGGGGAGAUGAUAGGUAUUUUUUGUAGAUUUCCUAGCAGCUAAAUAAAUGCACAGCUUUUCUUUCACAGCAGCCUGAGCUCACUUCCCUUUCUUCCUUCUGCCCUGGAAUGGUGAGAGCAGCUCUGAGGCAGAGCAAGAGGAUGCCAACCAGCUGUCAGAGGAUGUGUUCGAGCUGUGUACUGAGCUCCUCUGUGGGAGCUGGGGCAGGCAGGAGCAGGAGAG
rnacentral:lncRNA from 1 species